rnacentral:rRNA from 1 species
AGUGAGCGCUGGCGGUAGGCCUAACACAUGCAAGUCGAACGGCAGCACAGUAAGAGCUUGCUCUUACGGGUGGCGAGUGGCGGACGGGUGAGGAAUACAUCGGAAUCUACUUUUUCGUGGGGGAUAACGUAGGGAAACUUACGCUAAUACCGCAUACGACCUACGGGUGAAAGCAGGGGAUCUUCGGACCUUGCGCGAUUGAAUGAGCCGAUGUCGGAUUAGCUAGUUGGCGGGGUAAAGGCCCACCAAGGCGACGAUCCGUAGCUGGUCUGAGAGGAUGAUCAGCCACACUGGAACUGAGACACGGUCCAGACUCCUACGGGAGGCAGCAGUGGGGAAUAUUGGACAAUGGGCGCAAGCCUGAUCCAGCCAUACCGCGUGGGUGAAGAAGGCCUUCGGGUUGUAAAGCCCUUUUGUUGGGAAAGAAAAGCAGCAGGUUAAUACCCCGCUGUUCUGACGGUACCCAAAGAAUAAGUACCGGCUAACUUCGUG